UUAUGCUAAGCUUAAAACAUAUCUUUAAGGACCAUAUGCGUGUAUAUGCAUAAUAUUGUAACAUUUGCUAGGCAUGCAUACAUAGAUCUAUUUAGGCUUUAUUUGAGAUACAAAACACUCUAGGACAUGUGUUGAUCUCCAAUGAUUUGUUUUGCGGGAUCUGAGUUUCUGAGUUUCCUAUUUGAUGCCUGUUCAGAGAUGAUUAUUUUCUGAUCAUCUCUUUCUAUGGGAGUGUCAGAUGGUAUGACUUUAACUCCUCCUUCUUUUGUGCAGAGAUGGACUCAUUAAAGUCAACGUGUAGGAAUUCUAUCAAAUUUUUAUAGAAUAAGCAUUGCUUUUUCUAUGUCCUAUGGCAAUGAUAACUCCCUCAGAGUUAGUGAUAAAACAAUUGUAUUUUUAAAUUUUACUACAUUACCCCUACCU
rnacentral:lncRNA from 1 species